rnacentral:rRNA from 1 species
CCGGCUAACAUGGGCCAAGCCAUGGGUUUCCUCCCCCAAAAAGGGACGUUAACCUCCAAACCUCGUCCUUAUUUCGAAUGGAGGGUUGAAACUCCCCCUCAUGAACUUGGAUUCGGAAUUAUUCCCUUUUAAAAAGAGGGGGGGGAUUCC